rnacentral:lncRNA from 1 species
GGCUGAGAGCAGGGGGAGCCAUCUCCCUGUGUGUGGGACACUGCCUGCUGGGUGUUCCGUUCCAGCCCCUCUAGAAUGCAUGCUUGAAUGGCCAGUGAGGCUGGGGGAGGGACCGAGAGGGAGCCCUCACCCCCAGCAGCACAGAGCAGGAGCUGGACGGUGGGGCUGGGGGUGAGGCCAGCUGAGAGGGGUCAGGUCCUGCCACGGGAGGGGGACUUUUAAAGUUCCUCCAUGGCCCUGGAACCCUGGAGCCUCAGGAGUGGCAGGGGAGCUUCUCCGGACCUGCCUCUUCUGGACAUUUCGUAUAAAUGGAAUCGUGUAAUAUGUGGCCUUUCGAGCUGGGCUUCCUUCACUCAACGUCAUGUUUCCAAGAUCCAUCCCCAUUGAAGCUGGUGUCGGAGCCUCACUGCUUUCUGCGGGUGGGCUGGACCUGGUGACUUGCUUCUACCUGAUAGAAUACAGCAAGAGUGAUGAGAUGUCACUUCCGAGAUUAGGUUGGACGGAUGGUGACUUCCAGCUUGUUAGUCUUCUCUCGGGCUCUUCUUGUUUGCUUGCUCUGGUGAAGCCAGCCACCAUAUGUAGAGACGGGGCUUCACCAUGUUGGCCAGGAUGGUCUCGAUCUCCUGACCUCGUGAUCCACCUGCCUCGGUCUCCCAAAGGGCUGGGAUUACAGGCGUCUUGCUGCAUCUCGAAGCGUCUUCAGCGUGCUCUUGCUUGCUGGCUCUGAUGAUGGAGGUGUUCAAGCCAUCGUGGAAGGAAUGCAGUGGCCUCUAGGAGUGAGAAUGACACCAGCCAACAUCCAGCAAGAAGACGUGGACUUCAGUCCUAGGCCCAUGGAGACAAUUCUGUUAACAUCCUGGAUGAGCCUGGAAGUGGGCUUUCCCCAGAGUCUGCAGAUAAGAGCCCACGGCAGCUGACAUUUUGACUCUAGCCUCGUGAGGCCCUGAGACAGGAGGUUUCCUGCCCCGCAGGACUGAAAGAUGAUGAAUGGGAGUUAUUUUAUAUUUUCAGAUUGUGGUAAUUAGUCACUGUAGCAAUAGAAAACGAAUACAAGGUCUUUAUGCAUUAAUGUUGAAAACACUUUUUAU